rnacentral:rRNA from 1 species
AUUGACCGCUGGCGGCAGGCCUAACACAUGCAAGUCGACCGAGUGGCGGCCGGGUGAGUAAUGUAUGGGAAACUGACCGAUGGAGGGGGAUAACUACUGGAAACGGUAGCUCAUACCGCAUACCAUCGGAUGUGCCCAGAUGGGAUUAGCUAGUAGGUGGGGUAAAGGCUCACCUAGGCGACGCUCCCUAGCUGGUCUGAGAGGAUGACCAGCCACACUGGAACGGAGACACGGUCCAGACUCCUACGGGAGGCAGCAGUGGGGAAUAUUGCACAAUGGGCGCAAGCCUGAUGCAGCCAUGCCGCGUGUAUGAAGAAGGCCUUAGGGUGGUAAAGUACUUGCAGCGGGGAGGCGUUACCCGCAGAAGAAGCACCGGCUAACUCCGUGCCAGCCGCCGCGGUAAUAC